AACAUGUCUCUUUGUAAGAUUGAUUGAAUAAUAUAGAGAGUCGGACCUGCCCGGUGACUAUAAUUGUUAAACGGCCGCGGUACCCUAACCGUGCAAAGGUAGCAUAAUCAUUUGCCUUUUAAUUGGAGGCUGGUAUGAAUGGUUUGACGAGAGCUAAGCUGUCUCUUUUGAAAUAUUUAGAAAUUAACUUUUAGGUGAAGAGGCCUGAAUUUAUUUAAGGGACAAGAAGACCCUGUUGAGCUUUAGUGUAGUUGUGAAUGUAUUUUACUUUGGAUUAGUUGGUAUGUGUAUUUAUAUACAAUUGGAGUUUGUAAUUAAUCUUUAGUUGGGGCGACUGAGGAACAUAAAAAGCUUCCUUUAAUAUAUAGGUAGAUUUAGCUUAAUGAGGUUAACAUAUAAUGCUGUUGUGUUAUUUUGAUCCAAGUUGUUUUGAUUAAAGGAAAAAGUUACCACAGGGAUAACAGCGUAAUCUUUCUGGAGAGAUCUUAUCGAAAGAAGGGUUUGCGACCUCGAUGUUGGACUAAGAUAUCCUGAGGGUGUAGAAGUUCUCGAAGGUUGGUCUGUUCGACCAUUAAAAUCUUACGUGAUCUGAGUCAA
rnacentral:rRNA from 1 species